ACCAAAGAACUCCUUUGGAAAUACAGAUGUCAUCUGCAUUACGGCCAUAAUUAAUUAACCAAUCAAUUAUCAUGAUGAAUGCUAUUUUAAUGAAUCAGUUGCAAAUCAUUUUUGGUUCUUAUGGUUUUCAUUCAGCACACAUUAAUCAUGGCAGGCUCUCUGGGUUGCAGAGGAAUGCAGGACGUGAAUCCAAGACCUCAGUACAUCUUUAACAGAGUUUCUGAAGGAUCUGGAAGAAAUUACAGGAGUGACAGUUGUGAGAGGGACGUACUCCAGAUUGGCGGGGCUGGUUUGUGCUUUGUUACCACAUUGCCUCCUCCUAGCAGAAUGGAUGUGCUGGUGGCAUUCCCGGAUUUCUCGAGCUCUCAUGCUAACUCUGAGUCAGCUUUGACCUGGCUGGGUGCCCACCUGCAUAAUUCCAGAUGUGACCAUGGAGAGUGCACAGGGCAAACAACCCUAGGGAAGAAGGUCUUGCUGGCUUGAUGUCUAAAAACAAAAUAAAAAUCAAGUAAAAUUCCUCGAGUCUAAGUCU
rnacentral:lncRNA from 1 species